GUGUCUCGGAGGUUUGCCUUGGUGUGUGUUGAGUAGAACAAGGUAGUACCUGGUUCGGUGACAGGUUUGGUGAGCUAGCCAGAAGCCAGGUGCCGCCAACCUUCAGAAUUUAGCUUUAUUUUGCAGUGAAGAAAUGGUUUUGGAGUUUGGGGUUUGGAAGACGUGUUUGUGGUGAGUAAUCUUGUUAGAGACACACCUGUGCCUUCAUUGUCUGGCUGUCCCACCCAGAUGGUGGGUUGGAGGCCCAGCUUGCUGGAUUCGGACAGACAGUAUAAAAGUUUACAGCUGCUGAAGCAGCCCACAUCCGGGUUAAAGGCCCAGGGCUGUGAUUUUUGAUCUUUCUUUUCUUAUCUAUGUCUAACUGUCUGAAGUGUUAAGGAUUGACUCUUGGAGACUGAGCUUCUUGAUGACUAUAGCAUGUACUCUAAGAUAGAUUUCUUUGCAGCAACCAUCUAGAAACAAAAUGAGAUUUUUUUUUUCCCCAUUGCAAAAUGAGAAAUGCUAAUUCAGUUCCCCCUUGCAGCCCUCUAGGCCCCACUCUCCAAAACUGGAUGACUUUAAGUUUGAAUCUAUGGAAAAGAAAAAGAUGGUGCCUUUUGAUACCCUUGCAUAGUGCAAACACCCUUUAGGCUCAGAGAAAAAUGGCCUUCAAUUAAAAUACAACGUUGCAACUGGAUUUAUUUGGGAAACAGGAAGAAAAAUGGGAAAGAAUACCCUAUAUACAUUCUUUCAUCAGAAUCAACCUGCGCAAAGAAUAUGGAAAGUUAUGGCCCAGCAGAAUGGGAAGAGGGAGAAACCUGUUCUCGAUUCUAAUACAAAGUCAAUGGCUGGCCUGCAUGAAGGAAAGGAGAGGUUCCACCACCCCAGAGACACUUCCUCCUUUCUAAGAGGAUCUGCACAGUGGACUGUUCAUAUGUACGGAGCAUCUCUGAGUUCAGGAUUCGAAAUCAUGAAACACCUGUCUCUAAAACAUCACCUUAAACGAACAGUAUGAAGACUGAAGCUGCAAAAAUGAUGCAGGGAAUAUUUGCCAGACUGCAUUCCCACUGAAGUCUGGUGCCCAGUAUACCCGAACACCCAUCCCUCUCUCUAAUGUUGUCUGAAUGCAGCCCUCUGUUUUUCUGCCUGUUUGCCGAACUGGCCUGGUAGAGACUGAAAGGACGUUUCCAUGGAGCAGCUAUAGGUCGAGGGGGCCGAGAGGCAGUUCUAUCUGUACUCGGGUGAUGUUGCUUGGAACCACAUUCCAACAGUCAGUACUAUGGGCUCAUGGGCUCACUUGGGACAACCGUCUACAACCAUCUCCCCAUCAGUACCACACAGGAACACUUCUGAGGACCAGCUCUCUUCCUGCCUCCCUGUGAGGGCCCUUGUCUCACAGACCCUGGGGAGGGCUCCUGCCAGCUCUUUUCCACCUCUGGGAUGAGGUGGCUCCUCCUCCCUAGGAGAUGUUGCUGCCCUGGGGAAGCACCACCUCCCAGAACCCCUUCUGUACCAGGUCCUGCUCAGGACAGUUUUUCUUGGUUGUCAGAUUUCUCAGCUGCCUUUAUUGGACCACAGCUGUGCCUGGUCACUUCACAGGAUGGUAUGGGAUGUCUUUUGGAGCUAGCUAAGCACCCAUCUCAGAAUACAGAGGGAAGUACUUCAGUUUUGGCCACUCUGUCUGAAACUAGUUUUUCCCAGUAUCCUCCCACAAGGAGCACACUUUCCAGGAUUCCUUCAAUUUUCAUCCAAAUUUCCUCUAGGCUCUGUGAAAAUCUUGGGUUUGUCCCAUGAGAGUUGUGUGGACUCUAAGCCACUUUGCGACAGACAAGUCUACCCAGACUGUUCCUGGUCACUCCUGGUGAGCUCUGGGCUGAGACAGGCAUCACCAAAGUUCUCCCACUGGCCAGCUGAAGCUGCAUCCCAAGCAUCUUCUAAAAGACUACUGCAGACUGUCCCGGAAUUAAGAAGAAUGAGUGGAGAACAAGAGUGAAGUUUGUUAUGAAUGUAAGAAGUCCUGAUUAUAAUUCUGCUCAGCCAACAACAAAGAGCACAGGGAGCCCCAAAGUACGCUUAUGUCAACUGGACUCUGGUUGUAUGCUUGGAUCUCCAUCCGUGGAGGAAAAUAAUAAAAGUGAAGAAUGAAACAUCAAGCCUCAGAAGCAUAUAACCAAUUGUUGGACUUAGAGGGUGGGCUGUAAUAAUAAUUUAAAUAAUGUUUUUCUCUGGUAAUUGACACCCCUGUAUACUGUGUGAAUCAAAUGUUCAUUGCACAUACAAGUUUCAGUACAAGUUGGAUGCUUUUGUGUUUUAUUGUGGGGGUGGGUUGUGAUAAGAACUCAAGAAGUAAAGCAUAAAAGAAAAUAUGCCUAAUGAAACUCUUCUGUGCCAUUAAUUCUAAAAGUUCUGAAAUAUUGAAAAUGCGGACCAAAAAGCAUUGCCUGCCAUUUCAGUAAACAACAAAUAAUGUCCACCAUCAAGCCACUAGCCACUGCAGCUGUCC